UACUGAGUCUGGAACCUCUGCAAGAACAGCCCGUGCUCUUCAUUGGAGAACCACCUCUCCAGAACCCACCUCAAUCCUUGAGCCAUACGUACUUAAUAACAUUGUAUAGUAUUAUCCCUGGUUUUUCGGGAUGAAAACAGGUAAGUUGACACCUAUCCUCUAGCUUGGGGGCAAAAUACAAGGAUAUAACUCUGGGGCUUACCCAGAGAUGAAGAGCAGUUUCUAGAAACAGCCUUGUCAAUCAACUAACAUCUUGAAUGUAUUGUAAACACACUUACAGGUUUAAUUUGCAGGUGGAAAUGGUAGGCUUCUACCAGCUCAGAGAAGGGAAUAACCUAACCUGCGUUCCCCUAUCUCUGUUUGACACAAGACAGAACAACAAAAUUUACAGAAGAAAUCCUGAGAUUUCACUCAUCAGAGUGAGAGAAGAAACCUGGGUAGGGAAAGUAGGAUGAGAGGUAGAAAUUCUUCUUCAACUCAAAUUCCCCAGAAGUAUUUUUCCAAAAAUUAUAAAAGUAUUGGUAAUUUUGUACAAAUUUACUCUGUCUUUUAAGAACAUUUUUCUCCUGAGAGCUGUCUCUUCAGAAGCAGAAGUACCCCAUGCUGUGGGAUAAGAAGGCCACAAGGUAUUUCCAUCCAGCAGAGGAAACAGCUCUCCCUUGUACUAAUUAAGACUGUUUCAGGCCCUACACACUCAGCUAGGAUUGGGAAGCCUUGCAGGACGGUGACUGCCUAGCCCCAGACCAGACUUCCAAACUGGAAUUGAUCUUGACUAUGAUUGUGUACAGUGGGGCUUUCCCCCUCUUAAAGGGACAUUGCAGAAUCACAAAGGUAGGGCAGUUGGAGAAGGAAGAAGGAAGGGAAAAGAUAUGAAUCCACACCUGCAGUUUGAAGGUGUGUGGCAACCAUGUCUCCACUCCUCUGAGGGGACAGCCUCUGGUCAGUCGCACUGAGCCUGCGUCUCGUUGUGUGUGAACCUCUGAACUAUGAGGAAGCUGAGGCAGAAGUGGAUAACGCGUUCUAAAUCAUUAACAACGUUUGUUCUUUGAGCCUCACUUAUAUGUCAUUUUUUCUUCUUCUUUGCUUUAGUGAUUCCCAACCUUCCUGUCUCUGUGACCCUUUAAUACGACGGCUCCUCCUGUUGUGGUGACCCCAACCACAGAAUCAUGUCUUUGUUGCUACCUCACCACUGCAAUUCUGCUAUUGAAGUUGCAACAUAUUAUGAGAAAUCGUGUUUUUGUCAGGCUGUGCCCUACCCUGGGUGAUUCUGUUUUACAACCAGCAUUUGGAUCCAUCUGGAGUGUCAAUCGAGCGGCGGCAGGAUGACUCUGCACCAGUUUAUAUACACACACGCGAGAAACAAUACCUGUUCAACACAGACUGAUAGUAAAUGUU
rnacentral:lncRNA from 1 species